rnacentral:tRNA from 1 species
GCAUUCGUGGUAUAGUGGUCAGCACGCUCGGUGCGUAUUCGAGAGGUCCGUGGUUCGAAUCCCGGCGAAGGCA